AUGCAUCCCUCCCCUCGCUGCCAGGCAACCUGGGCGAACAAUAGCGGACGUCAAGUCAGGCCUACUGUCGGCAGGUGCUGUUUGGUGGCUCUGGCGAAGGUGUCAUGUUUUUUCUGUUGUUGCUGGAUCGAACAUGGUGCGACAGUGAUGGGAUGUGAGAUGGUAUGGGUUGUCUUGUCUCUGAUAUCUUCUCAAGAGGUAUCUGGUUAUGCAGGCGUUGGCAGUGGGACAAGCGAUGAUGGUAGAGACGGCUUCAACGACGAGUAUGUGCACUCCGGUGGAAAAACAAAAUCUCGGGUCGACAUGUGCAUGCAUCGUGCCAUUGCUGAAGGUGGUGGGUUGAAACAUGGCUUCGAGGAUGAAAAUACCGAGAUCAACCUUGGGUUGGAAUCGCCAUCAUCGACGCCCAUGUAG
rnacentral:rRNA from 1 species